CCUACGGGUGGCAGCAGUGAGGAAUAUUGGUCAAUGGACGAGAGUCUGAACCAGCCAAGUAGCGUGAAGGAUGACUGCCCUAUGGGUUGUAAACUUCUUUUAUAUGGGAAUAAAAUGUUCCACGUGUGGGAUUUUGUAUGUACCAUAUGAAUAAGGAUCGGCUAACUCCGUGCCAGCAGCCGCGGUAAUACGGAGGAUCCGAGCGUUAUCCGGAUUUAUUGGGUUUAAAGGGAGCGUAGGUGGAUUGUUAAGUCAGUUGUGAAAGUUUGCGGCUCAACCGUAAAAUUGCAGUUGAAACUGGCAGUCUUGAGUACAGUAGAGGUGGGCGGAAUUCGUGGUGUAGCGGUGAAAUGCUUAGAUAUCACGAAGAACUCCGAUUGCGAAGGCAGUUCACUGGACUGCAACUGACACUGAGGCUCGAAAGUGUGGGUAUCAAACAGGAUUAGAUACCAGAGUAGUC
rnacentral:rRNA from 1 species